rnacentral:rRNA from 1 species
GGGCCCGCACAAGCGGCGGAGCAUGCGGAUUAAUUCGAUGCAACGCGAAGAACCUUACCAAGGCUUGACAUGGACCGGACCGGGCUGGAAACAGUCCUUCCCCUUUGGGGCCGGUUCACAGGUGGUGCAUGGUUGUCGUCAGCUCGUGUCGUGAGAUGUUGGGUUAAGUCCCGCAACGAGCGCAACCCUCGUUCCAUGUUGCCAGCGCGUAAUGGCGGGGACUCAUGGGAGACUGCCGGGGUCAACUCGGAGGAAGGUGGGGACGACGUCAAAUCAUCAUGCCCCUUAUGUCUUGGGCUUCACGCAUGCUACAAUGGCCGGUACAAAGGGUUGCGAUACUGUGAGGUGGAGCUAAUCCCAAAAAGCCGGUCUCAGUUCGGAUUGGGGUCUGCAACUCGACCCCAUGAAGUCGGAGUCGCUAGUAAUCGCAGAUCAGCAACGCUGCGGUGAAUACGUUCCCGGGCCUUGUACACACCGCCCGUCAAGUCACGAAAGUUGGUAACACCCGAAGCCGGUGGCCUAACCCCUAGUGGGAGGGAGCUGUCGAAGGUGGGACUGGCGAUUGGGACU